CGGUGCCGAGAGCCACUCAAACUGCCGAUGCCGAGAGCUACUCGUGCUCCACCCGAGUGCCGCCGAAGAUCCAUUUCUCCACCUCCCUUUUUCCCCUCGCAUCCAUAGCCGCCACUUGAUCCUCUACCCGAGCCCUAGAGUCAAGUUGAUUUCGUCGGGCUUUUCUUCGCCGUUUGAGGUGGGUUCUGUCAUCAAGGUAGGUGAGAACCGAUUCGUAGCUCUUAUCUCCGAUUCCAACAGCAGCAUCACGGUCACAUACUCAUCGGUUGCUUACCUUUGUUUUGACUGACUUGGGUUCGAGGCGAACGUC